UCAAAUUUAGACAUCAUCUGUAAUUUAGCACCUUAAAUUGCUAUUUUAUUUGGUUUUGUGUAUUUUGUGAAAGCUUACGCAUGUAUAGCUCACCCCAUGCUCACCUGAGGAGAUGGUAAGACUGUGAAAGUAAAAUGCCGGCUGAUGGUUGCUGAAUCUGCCCCCCACCACCUUCCCGGUUGCUCCAGUCUGGCUUCUCCACUCAGUGGAUCACAUAACUAUGUGCAUUGUGAGGGUUUCACACUGUCGCUCGCAACUAUCACCCUUCACACAGCGAAAGUAUACCGCUGACACCUGGACACUGACACUACACACUCAGCCAGGCUUUCCAGAACAGACUGAGGAGCGGCAAGAGACUGGAAAGGAAGGAGAUAAUUCACUGAGGAAAA